GAUCCACAUGCCUUGGCCUCCCAAGUUGCUGCGAUUACAAGCGUGAGCUACUGUGCCUGGCCUAGGCUAAAUUCUAUUAUAAUAAAACAAGUUCAGCUCAGAUUAAAGGGGUAGAGAAGUAGAUUCUACCUCUUGAUGGGUGGGGUGGCAAAGUCACUUUGCAAAAGCAGGUGGACACAGGAUAUUGUAGUUCAUUGGGAGCCAUUAUAGUAAAAAUAUACCACAAUCUGCAUUCUCUCCCAGUAAUUCAAGUCCCUUCCCAAGACUCCCAAAGUCUCAUCCAGUUAUGGCAUCAUACUCAAAAUCCAUUAUUUUAUAAUCUGUCUGCAUUAGGUCCAAAAGCAGUAUGUGUUCUUCUUGACGCAGACACCAGAGAACUAAAAGAAGUUUGCUGCCCUCCUCACUUCCAUCCAACACACAAAGAAAUGUGCAGAAGUCACCAGAGAUCGAGAAGAAAGGACGUCUAAAAGUCACCACAGAAGAAUAUGACCGUGAGCAGGGCCGUGGCCAGCUUCUGCCUUGGCUGUGCACACUGGGCAAGCAGGGGAGGGGGACUGGGCUGUUUGUCUUCAGCCGGGGGCCACCUUCAUUCUCUGUUACUAAUUCUGGACAGACCAAUUCUUGUCUCCUGUAUUUCAAAAAGUAAUUUUUUUUUUUUUUUUUUUUGAGACGGAGUCUUGCUCUGUCGCCCAGGCUGGAGUGCAGUGGCGUGAUCUUGACUCACUGCAAGCUCCGCCUCCCGGGUUCAUGCCAUUCUCCUGCCUCAGCCUCCCGAGUAGCUGGGACUACAGGCGCCCGCCACCACGCUUGGCUAAUUUUUUGGAUUUUUAGUAGAGACAGGGUUUCACCGUGUUACGAGGUCAGGAGAUCGAGACCAUCAAAAAGUAUUUUUGCCCAUACACAUUUCUUGAUACUCUGUAAAACAUUCUGGAAUUUUAAACCCUUGGUAUGUUGUUUCUUGCCUUUAAAAAGAGCAUUUAUGAACCAACAUACCUUUUAAAGGUCAUUGAUACCAUUUUUAACAAGGUUUUGUACUUUAUCAUUCUCAUUUAUCUUCCAUUUUCUAAUUUUUCUUUCAGUAUCUCUUUAUUUCCUUUUACUCCUAUCUGAAAAUUUAAUUUAUAUUAGAAACAUACUAGCUAUACAUGCUAAACUUAUUAAAUAUCUACUAGAAUUUUAGAGAUGGAAUAGUUCUUAGUCUGGUUCACCCUGAGUAUUUUGACUAUCUGAUAUAAAAGAAGCAACAGAUAGAAGGAGAAGAGUAGAUGAGGAAACAGCAGAUAAUGGCAUAAGUCAUGUUGUCAUCAUUGGGAAGGCUGGGAACAAGUCAAAUCCUUCUGCUGAAAAACUCUCCUAACCUACACACUCCCGAAGGCUUUGUGUGUAUGUGCAUAUUGGGAGGUAGGGGUGGUGGUCACUGUGGUGGGGCUGAUGCCGGAGAUGCCAUAUUUUUCCUUUGCGCUUCUCCCCACCCACCCUUGCCCCAGGGCUCUGCUUUGUGCUGAACACACAGUAGGUGGGACUUGUGAGCACUUGUAGUCAGCACUUGUUAUUUUCGGACUUGAUUAUCUAUCACUUUUCUCAGUAACUAUAGAACAUAGCCAAUAGGAGAUCAUCCUUACAGCCCCAAAGGGCAGAAAAUGAAGUUGACUUAAUCAUCCACUUGUUAGCGCACCUUACUCUAUGAACUCAAAAUGCAGUGGAGAGAAAAGGGAUGGAAGAAAUUUGUUCAUAAUGAGCAAGCUAGGAAGACUGCUGCAAGUUUCCAAAAUUUCAGAUGGACUUUGUGAAUUGAGACUCUUAGAAAACUGCCAGUUUCUAUGUUUUGAUUUUCGUGAAAAUCAGAACCAAAGAGGAAAAGGUAAGUGAUAAUAUUUUUGGUUUAAGAAAUUAAACCAAAGUGUCAUGGUGCUACUGAGGUGCAGUUUCACAUUCUUUUUUCAGAAGAUGAGCCAAUAACAAAAUGACUCUGUUUUAUAGAAUAUUAUUUUCAGUAUUAGAUAUUACUAAUUAAGUAUUACACAAAGCUGUUUAGCAGAAAAAAUGUGAUUUUUCAGACAGCAGAAGUUGAGGAAGUCUGAGUUUCUGCGUUUUGACACUGACUGGGUAGGAGUUUCUUUGUCUAUAGAACAGGGAUUUGUAGAGGAAGACCUGGCUGCCUUGGUGAGUUACACCCUCUAAUCGUGAGCAUGACGUUGUGUAAAAGGAAAAUUGUCUUUAUUCUUAGGAUUUUUUUUUUCUUUUUUACCUUGUAAUUUAGCAUUAAAAACAGGGAGAGAACAUGCCAGUCGGAAUGGCUAUUAUUAAAAUGUCAAAAAACAACAGAUGCUGGCGAGGUUGCAGAGAA
rnacentral:lncRNA from 1 species